rnacentral:lncRNA from 1 species
AUACCACCUAUAUUAUCUCAGCCAAUCUGAACAACAAUGGCAAAGCAGGCUUUAUCAGGCCUGAGGUUCAGAGAGUUUAGGGAUUUACCCAAGGUUGCGGAGCAGUCAGCAGAAUUGAGAUUUGACCCUGAUCUAUCCAGCUGUGGAAAGAUUCUCUGCGACGGUACAUCCUCUGCGAUGGUGCGCCCUAGGCAGUAGAAACCACAGAAGAAAGCCAGAAAACCAGCCAGAUAGAUGGCUGCUGAAACAAUUCAAGAGAGACAUGAUGAUCUACUAUAAUGGCGGUGGAGAACAGAUAGAAGUUACUGUGAAGAUGAAAGGAGAUGAUGUGUGUAACACUCACAGACUGGGACCCAGGAUGUAUGCAUCAGAUUUUAGGGAAACAUUGGUCUUCUUUCUCACCAUGGUUCAAGGUCUUGGGAUGCCUCCAAGACACGCUGACAAAAAGUCCCAUGAUUUUGUAGCUUAGUGUGUUGUGCCACAAAAAAGCCUUCAAAAUUAUUAAAAUAAGUUUUCCCAUAACAAAAUAAGGGAUCUACAACUAAAUAGAAGUAUUAAUGAUUAUUUAAUACUUCAGAAAGAAUGAAAGAGAGGAGAGAUUUUCUAUACUUGGGGUCUAUGAAAUUCCCUUCUAUCCAUUAAAAAAAUAAAGAACUUUUAAAACAAGGUUGAA